UGGCUACUAUAGCUAAUACCGCAUAACGUCGCAAGACCAAAGAGGGGGACCCUCGGGCCUCUUGCCAUCGGAUGUGCCCAGAUGGGAUUAGCUUGUUGGUGGGGUAACGGCUCACCAAGGCGACGAUCCCUAGCUGGUCUGAGAGGAUGACCAGCCACACUGGAACUGAGACACGGUCCAGACUCCUACGGGAGGCAGUAGUGGGGAAUAUUGCACAAUGGGCGCAAGCCUGAUGCAGCCAUGCCGCGUGUAUGAAGAAGGCCUUCGGGUUGUAAAGUACUUUCAGCGGGGAGGAAGGGAGUAAAGUUAAUACCUUUGCUCAUUGACGUUACCCGCAGAAGAAGCACCGGCUAACUCCGUGCCAGCAGCCGCGGUAAUACGGAGGGUGCAAGCGUUAAUCGGAAUUACUGGGCGUAAAGCGCACGCAGGCGGUUUGUUAAGUCAGAUGUGAAAUCCCCGGGCUCAACCUGGGAACUGCAUCUGAUACUGGCAAGCUUGAGUCUCGUAGAGGGGGGUAGAAUUC
rnacentral:rRNA from 1 species